GCUAGAGCGGCAAAACCCCGGCAAGUUUGUUUUGAAGAGUAGUAUGAGUGUGUUUUGAGUGAAAGAACGGCGACUUGCCUAUCAAAAGGUGAGAAUUUCAGCGCUACGUUGUUGUGUGCCAGAGUGUUCAAACUCAUCUAAAUUCAAUAAGGAAAUUAGCUUCCAUUCAUUCCCUGUUGACUCCGCGCUGAGGGCUGAGUGGAUGAGAACGAUCCGGAGAGAUGACUUCAACCCUACCAAAAACACCCGGGUCUGAAGUGGGCAUUUUAAUGCAACAGAUAUUAUUGUGACUGCUAGUGGAUUGAGAAGGUUACAAAAGGGAACGUUUCCUGUUCUCUUUGAAUGGAAUGGAUAUGAACGACCUGUACCCAGACCCAGUGUUUGGGAUCGGCGUCCGCAGCCAGACAUGGAUAUCCCGGAUUCAGGAUCUGACUCCGAGAUGGAAGUUGUGACAGUGGCACCUGAUCACGAAUACUGUUUGAUUCCAGAAACAGGGGAGAGAGCAAGUGUGUUGACUGAGGAGAACGAAGCCUUGCGUCUUCAAAUAAGAGAGUUGCAACACCAGGUCGAGGUGCUACAGCUACGGCAGCGUUUUGGGAUAGAGAGUCUGGUAGGAUCGGACGCGGACAUUCGUUUCUACACCAGGUUUGCGUCCCACUCGCAUUUCAUGGCAUUUUGGAGAUUGGUGGAGCCUGCCGUGAACAGAAAGAUGGUGAGGAUUACCAGCGCCAAAACGACGGCAUCUGCCAGCAGCAGCAGCAGCAACACAGUCUCUCAUCAAACAACGAAACUUCCACCUAUUGACGAGCUGCUGCUCUUCCUGAUGCAUCUGUCAGCCGGUUUACUUCUCAGGGACCUUGCAGAGAGGUUCAGUAUCCAUCGCAGCACUGCCAGUCAGAUUGUGUCCACUUGGACACACUUCCUGUACUUUCUGCUGGGAAGCCAGCGUCUGUGGAUCCCACCUGAAGUUGACAGAGCUCACCUACCAUAAUGUUCUGUGUGACCCUGAACACGCCUUGCGAUGUGGACCAACGUAUCUAUUUCACGCCUUGGCGUGAUACCGGGUUGGUGUGUGCCACGGAAUAUCAGUGUCAUUAACUUGUAUUGGAGCAAAUUCCGGACAAAAUCACGGACAAUUUAAGUGAUUCCGUGAGACCACCACGGACUUUGAGUUAAGCGCCCGUGGUCGACUCGCUCGUUGAAACGGGGAUCCGUGUGUGAGCCUUGGAAUAACAGUGUCAUUUACUUGCAUUGGAGCAAAUCCGUGGCCACAUCACGGACAAUUUACCUACCAGUUUUCUGCGUUUGCUGACACACAGGUGGUGCUUGAUUGCAGAGAGAUCUCCUGCCAAACGCCCUCUUCUCUUCUCCUGCAGAGUGAUGUGUUUUCAAGCUACAAGUCACACACAACAUUCAAGGCAAUGAUUGGCAUGGCUCCCCAUGGUGCCAUUACGUUUGUGUCAGGGCUGUAUCCAUGAGUGAUCGGGAAAUCUUCAAACAUUCUGGAAUAGCGAAGCUGCUGCAGCCAGACAUGGCAAUCAUGGUGGACAAAGGCUUCUUGGUUGACAACCUUGGGUGUAAGGUGUACCGACCUGCCUUUCUCUCUCAGAAAAAGCAAAUGAGCAGAGAGGAUGUCAGCCAGACACAGUCAAUUGCACGUCUAAGAGUGCAUGUGGAGAGGUGCAUAAGGAGGAUCAAAGAGAACAAACUCUUUGAUAAGGAAAUACCUCUCUGUAUGUGGGAACAUUGAGGAGUUGUUCAGUGUGGCCUGCUUCCUGGUCAAUUACCAGAAUGGGCCACUAAUAAAGGCGUGGGCAAGUCAACAGUGAAUUAAAGAUGUGUCUUGACCCUUAAAAAAAUGUCAUUGUGGUCUUUACACUACAUUUUGGGUUUUACUGACUUAAAACAUAAAUUAAAACACACUGGAAAUGACAUAAGACAAUUUAUAAUUUACUAAGGAAAUAAUGCAGGUGAGAAAUAAACAAACACACACAAUCAUUGACAUCUCGUAUCACCCACGAGCACAUAAAGAUUUGAACAGUAAUGGAUGAGAAAGAUUUGGUUGAUUAUAUGGAAGAUAAAAAAUUACAAAUUACAAAGAUAUACAUGGAGAAGGCAAAAUUUAAUCAAGCAAAUAUAACAUUGAUAUAUUUACAACAUUCUGGGGAAACAAGACGAUGCCCAGGAUAUACUAGACAAACGAACAAAAACCAAGAGUAUGAACAACUAAUAUAUGAGAGGACUAACAUUUUAUACUAUGAAUCGAAAAGCAAAGUGGAUGGAAAAAGGGGAAAGAGUCAACCACUGUUUUUACCGAGGUAAAAGUGAAAAAAGAAAUAAUCCCCCUUCUCCCUUAUAACCCCUGCCACCGCAGCAUCCCUGUAGAUACGCUGCACAAGAAUGUCCUCCUCAGCCAGAACAAUAAAAUCACACCAUUGCAUCCCGGUGAAUAAUAGCUGCCCCUGGACUUGCCAGUAGUAGCUGUGACUGGGCUUUAAUUUUAAUUUGCCACUCUGCAUCUUUAGGUACUUGCAGUCCACAUAGCUUUUGGAAUUAGGGCAUUUGAUUUCCAUCACUCCAAAUGGUGGGCUCUCAGUUGGAUCAAAUACAAGACCAUCUGGAGAGGAUCCUAGCCAAGGAGCAUCUGGGUGUAUUACAAAGCCACAUGGCCAGUAGUUGACAUUUUUCGUCCUGCUGUAUUCUUGGAUGGCCACAGGCUCCAAUGCCAGCCCCCUUUUCAUUAGCGCUGUCUGAACCCCACCUUUCCAUAUUCUCUCUGCUAGGUUCUGAGAAGACCUGUCCCCUCUCACAUGGCACACCUCCCUAAAUCGAGAAGAAGUGAGCCUUGGCUUCCUGACUUGGUGCCACUCCACACUGUUGCUCUGGUCCCUUGUAGCCAUCUCUAUCUUCCUUGCCAUAUCCAAGGUAAUGGCAAGUGACAUUAACUGGAGAUGCUGUUCAUGAGUGCACACAAAAUUACAGGUGGAGGGAUCCAGCCUAUAGCCUUCUAAUGGCAGAGGUGGUGGAGGGGGGCUGUCUGGGUGGCAGACUAUUACCCGACUAAUUGGUACUGGAUGCUGGUAAGAGAUGGGGCUACCUUCCUGGACAGGUCCAAAUGCUGACUCGACAAGGGGAACAUCCUCGGUUAUUGCCAUGGUGGUUAUCAGCGGAGCAAUGUCUGCUGUGAAGUCUUGGUAAGCCUCCACAACUUUCAGGACAUCUGGGUCCGGCAAGUCCCCCAGCACUGCUUUGUAGCGCUUACUCCUUAGAAAGAAAAGAAAGGGUAACAUCAUAAUUAGGAGUUGGGAAAAAGGUGAGGGAAGAAUACACUCAAGCAAAACUUAAAGAAGAAAGAUAAGUAGAUAUUACCUUACACCAUCAGACGACCAUGUCACUCACUCUACCAGGUUUCACACCCUAUAAAAGUACACAAAGAACAAUAACAACAAUAGUAUUAAUAAUAAAUAAUAUUCUCACUUUGGUAUUAAGUGCUUACCAUAGUCCGUGGCUUAUGCCAUCUCUGCUCUGUUUCUGUGCAGCUAAGGACGGGGGGAACUGCCUUCAGUCUCAGGGUUGAGUAAUGUGCUGUUUGAAAAAGAAGUCCAACAUUGUGAUUGCACAGGACUUUUCCAGCAACACAUGUGCAUUCAGCAGCAGCAAUUGUAACAGGCGAGCUGUUUUCAAAAGUUAUCUAUAAAAGAAAACACAAUUACUUACAUGUCACGUUGAAGUCAUUAUGUCACUACUAUAAAAGAACACCAGAAUGAGAAAGGUCACAGCAGGCUUACGGUUCAAGCAAUAGUGGAUAUGGAAAAAGUGCAACCAUUCUGGUUUAUUGAACUAACUGAACUGAGAGAGAGGGAAUAAACAUCUAGUUCUGCUCCGUUUCAAAUACUGCUACUUGACAUCCACACAAAUAAGCCGGUGUCACUUAUCUCUUAAUUGGCUUUCAGGUAACAUAGAAGUGUAACAAUGUAAGAACAACAUUGAACAAGAACAAGCCUAGAUUCAGGGUACACAAUCAGCUCUUACCUCACACUGACUCAUGUACCUGACCAUGGAUAGGCUUAAACAGGGAUGGCCAAACUGUUUGUGCUUGCAGGUCCCAUACAGAAAAAUACACACUGUCCAGGACCAUUACAAUACCAGUUAAAAGUGUAACAGUAGUUGUGAAAAACCCUGUUCUCUAUGGUAUUCCAGAGUUAUCUAAUGAAUGUCUGGGUAACAUGUGCAUGGAGUAAUAUAAGAGCAAGUUU
rnacentral:lncRNA from 1 species